rnacentral:rRNA from 1 species
AUACGGAGGGUGCGAGCGUUAAUCGGAAUUACGGGGCGUAAAGGGUGCGUAGGCGGCUUGAUAAGUCGGAUGUGAAAGCCCCGGGCUUAACCUGGGAAUUGCAUUCGAUACUGUCAGGCUAGAGUAUGUCAGAGGUUGGCGGAAUUCCUAGUGUAGCGGUGAAAUGCGUAGAUAUCAGGAGGAACACCAGUGGCGAAGGCGGCUAACUGGGGCAAUACUGACGCUGAGGCACGAAAGCGUGGGGAGCAAACAGGAUUAGAAACCCUAGUAGUCC